rnacentral:rRNA from 1 species
CCUACGGGAGGCAGCAGUGGGGGAUAUUGCACAAUGGGGGAAACCCUGAUGCAGCGACGCCGCGUGUGUGAAGACGGUCCUCUGGAUUGUAAACCACUGUCCCCAGGGACGAAAAUGACGGUACCUGGGGAGGAACCUCCGGCUAACUACUUGCCAGCAGCCGCGUUAAUACGUAGGGAGCGAGCGUUGUCCGGAAUUACGGGGGGUAAAGGGGGCGUAGGCGGGGAUGCAAGUUGGGUGUAAAAACUACCGGCUAAACUGGUAGUCGCACUCAAAACUGCAGCGCUUGAGUGAAGUAGAGGCAAGCGGAAUGCCUAGUGUAGCGGUGAAAUGCGUAGAUAUUAGGAGGAACACCAGUGGCGAAGGCGGCCUGCUGGGCUUUUACUGACGCUGAGGCUCGAAAGUGUGGGGAGCAAACAGGAUUAGAUACCCCAGUAGUC